CCUACGGGUGGCAGCAGUUGGGAAUAUUGCGCAAUGGGCGCAAGCCUGACGCAGCAACGCCGCGUGAAGGAAGAAGGCCUUCGGGUUGUAAACUUCUUUUCUCAGGGACGAAGCAAGUGACGGUAUUUGAUGAAUAAGCUACGGCUCACUACGUGCCAGCAGCCGCGGAAAUGCGUAGGUGGCAAGCGUUAUACGGAUUUACUGGGUGCAAAGGGCGUGGUGGCGGGUCUGCAAGUCAGAUGUGAAAACCUCGUGCUUCACCUGUGGCCUGCAUUGGAAACUGUAGUGCUUGAGUGCUGGAGAGGCGGACGGAAGUCCUGGUGUAGCGGUGAAAUGGGUAGAUAUUAGGAGGAAGACCAGUGGCGAAGGCGGUCUGCUGGACAGCAACUGACGCUGAGGCGCGAAAGCGUGGGGAGCAAACAGGAUUAGAUACCCUAGUAGUC
rnacentral:rRNA from 1 species